UAUCCCUCCUCCCCAGGAAAUCAGCAUGUUCUCACGUCCAUAUGCCCAAAAUAACGCAAAAACUACCACCCCUUUUCCCUUCUUUUUUUCCUCCACCAUCCCCAAUAUCUAAAAAACCUAAUCUUUCAUAGUCCUGCCGCUGCUUAGAUUUACUGCCAAGAAUCUCUAAUUUUACACUAUUGAAUCGGUGAAAUCGAGACAAGCAAAGGGGCAGUCCUAAAUUGAUGCAAUAACGACAACCAAGGAAUCUCUGGAAUAGUCAAAAGGAGAUUCUGUUAGAUUCAUAAUUCAAAUCUCCCUACCCCUCUGCUUUUCCACAAUUUUGAGUUUUGAAUUUGUAUUUUUAAGUCUGGAUUCUUCUAUAAAUAUUGUCCUUCGUCAUCUAUGGAAGGGGGAAAAGAAAAUCCGUGAAAGAAAAAGAAAGCAAAUGGGUUUGGGAAAAAAAGGAAAAAACAAAGAGAGAGUUAAAAAACAAAACGCUGGGAAAAAUCAAAAAGAGGGAAGAAAAGGGAGAUAAAAUUGAAGGAAGAAAAAUGGUUUGAAAACAUGAGAAAAAUCGAAAGAAAAAGGGGGAAGAUUUAAAAAAAUGGGGACGAGAACAGGUUCGAAAAUUAAGGGUGUUAAAUUUCCAAGUUCUUUCUUUUGAUUUUGUCCAAAUUUGAAGUUUCAGAGUGGGUUCAUAGUCAUCAGAAACUAUCCCGACGUCAACAUUCCAGUUUACUGCACCAAAAAAGGCACAUAGUUAAUGAGAUCAAAUGAUGUGGAUUAGAGCUUAAAAGGAUCUAAAGGGAGCAAGAAAGUGCAGCUAAAGACUUGGAGCAGAAGGGCCUUAAGUACUGUGGUCGCGGUCUGCUGACCGCGAUCACGGUAGUCAAGCAAAAGUCAUUCAACCACGGUCACGUAGCUGCGGUCACAACCAUACUUACACGAUCAGGACUUAGCGGAGGAAUCUGCCCAAGGACAAAUCUAAAAAUACGCGCGGCUGAUCCCAAUUUUGACAAAAAGACUCAAACCCUAGAUUCAUACAUAAUAUUCCAUCUUUCCAAUUUUUAGGUUUAUAUCUUGAUUUCAUAGCCUCUAUUUUUUGAGAAGAAAAUAUUGUAUAAAUUUUAGGUGAAGAAUAUAUUGGAGACUUUCUCAGUGGAAGAUUUUCUCACUUCCAUUGUUGAUU